GCUGGGUGUGGUGGUGCACACCUGUAAUCCCAGCAGUUUGGGAGGCUGAGGCAGGAGGAACAUAAAUUCAAGUCCAACCUCAG
rnacentral:sRNA from 1 species